AGCUUUGCACAUUGGUAGUAUCGUAGCCAAUGAGAUUUAUCCAAGGCAUGAUUAUUGCUAAUAAAAAGCUCAUAUUAGAAAGG
ensembl:snRNA U4 U4 spliceosomal RNA